UGAGGAAUAUUGGUCAAUGGGCGGAAGCCUGAACCAGCCAUGCCGCGUGAAGGAAUAAGGCCCUAUGGGUCGUAAACUUCUUUUGUACGGGAGCAAUAAGUCUCACGUGUGGGACGAUGAGAGUACCGUACGAAUAAGCAUCGGCUAACUCCGUGCCAGCAGCCGCGGUAAUACGGAGGAUGCGAGCGUUAUCCGGAUUUAUUGGGUUUAAAGGGUGCGUAGGCGGCUUGGUAAGUCAGCGGUGAAAUGUCGGGGCUCAACCUCGGAACUGCCGUUGAUACUGUCAGGCUUGAAUGCGGAUGCCGUGGGAGGAAUGUGUGGUGUAGCGGUGAAAUGCAUAGAUAUCACACAGAACACCGAUUGCGAAGGCAUCUCACGAAUCCGCGAUUGACGCUGAGGCACGAAAGUGCGGGGAGCAAACAGG
rnacentral:rRNA from 1 species